AUACGUAGGGGGCGAGCGUUGUCCGGAAUGACUGGGCGUAAAGGGCGUGUAGGCGGCCGAUUAAGUCUGGAGUGAAAGUCCUGCAUUCAAUGUGGGAAUUGCUUUGGAGACUGGUUGGCUUGAGUGCGGAAGAGGUAAGUGGAAUUCCCAGUGUAGCGGUGAAAUGCGUAGAGAUUGGGAGGAACACCGGUGGCGAAGGCGGCUUCCUGGACAGUAACUGACGCUGAGGCGCGAAAGCGUGGGGAGCAAACAGGAUUAGAUACCCUGGUAGUCCACGCCAUAAACGAUGAAUACUAGGUGUAGGGGGUAUCGACUCCCUCUGUGCCGCAGUUAACACAAUAAGUAUUCCGCCUGGGGAGUACGGCCGCAAGGUUGAAACUCAAAUGAAUUGACGGGG
rnacentral:rRNA from 1 species